rnacentral:rRNA from 1 species
UACGAAGGGGGCUAGCGUUGUUCGGAAUUACUGGGCGUAAAGGGCUCGUAGGCGGCCAACUAAGUCGGAUGUGAAAUCCCCAGGCUCAACCUGGGAACUGCAUCCGAUACUGGAUGGCUUGAAUUCGGGAGAGGGAUGCAGAAUUCCAGGUGUAGCGGUGAAAUGCGUAGAUAUCUGGAGGAAUACCGGUGGCGAAGGCGGCAUCCUGGACCGACAUUGACGCUGAGGAGCGAAAGCCAGGGGAGCAAACGGG